GACGAACGCUGGCGGCGUGCCUAAUACAUGCAAGUAGGACGCAGUUGCGAACGGGUGAGUAACGCGUCGGUCACUGCCUAUUAGAGGGGGCUAACUAUUGGAAACGAUAGCUAAUACCGCAUACUAGUAGAUGGACCUGCGUUGUAUUAGCUAGUAGGUAGGGUAAUGGCCUACCUAGGCGACGAUACAUAGCCGAGCUGUGAGGGAGGUCGUCAAAAAUUGGACUGAGAAAAGGCCCAGACUACGACGGGAGGCAGCAGUAGGGGAUCUUCGGCAAUGGGGGGAACCCUGACCGAGCAACGCCGCGUGGGUGAAGAAGGUUUUCGGAUCGUAAAGCGCUGUUGUUAAGGAAGCGGUACUUAACCAGAAAGGGACGGCUAACUACGUGCCAGCCGCCGCGGUAAUAC
rnacentral:rRNA from 1 species